rnacentral:rRNA from 1 species
UACGAAGGGGGCUAGCGUUAAUCGGAAUUACUGGGCGUAAAGCGUGCGCAGGCGGUGAUGUAAGACCGAUGUGAAAUCCCCGGGCUUAACCUGGGAACUGCAUUGGUGACUGCAUUGCUAGAGUAUGGCAGAGGGGGGUGGAAUUCCCAGUGUAGAGGUGAAAUUCGUAGAUAUUGGGAAGAACACCGGUGGCGAAGGCGGCUCACUGGCCCGGUACUGACGCUGAGGUGCGAAAGCGUGGGGAGCAAACAGG